CUAUCAAUGUAACCAACAAAAUUCAGCAUGGUUUUAGUUGUGAAGGUCCAGUGAACCACUAUGGAUCUCCAAUAACUGGCAGAGAAGGAACUUUUCGAUUGCCUAGAAGAGUUACGUGCCUAUGCGGACAGAGGGAGGAUGGACGGGGAGGAGGCUUGAUCAAAGUUGAUGAGCACCUCAGGGAUACCUGCUUCUUACACUUCUCAUGGAAACAAGUAUUUUCAAAAAAGAUUUUGAUUGGCGCGGUGGAACUGUGGCGCCUCCAGUAAACGAAAGUAAACACUACGAACUGGAUUCAAUCGAAGAUGUUGACGGUAUGUUUUUGGCGGGAUUUUCGAGCUACAUUGUACAUGGCCUGUAGGAUUUCAUGAUUUGCCAGUUGCCCCUAGAGGAGUAUAGAUAGUUGCAUUUACUUAAUCAAAAUGGAACUACGUGCAGAUCUCAACUACCAAAGCAGAACACCUCAGGCUGGUUGCAUCCAUGGGCUGUCGAGGAAAGGAAAGCCUUCUGUGGAUGUAAAGAUAUUUCGUUGCUCUUUGUUAGUGAGGGAAGCUAAUUGGAAUGAGUCUAAUGAAAGUGGAGUGAAACACUGGAGCCGAAUGAUUGUUAACUUCAGAGGAACGCAGCAUGGGGACCUGGUCAACUUAAACCUAACACCUUGAGACUGUAAGAGGGAAAUGUGUAGCAGCUAGAGGGGAGAAUUGACAAUCAGAUCUUGGGAGUUAACCAUGAGGUUGUUAAGAUCUCUGAACUGCUCUAAGGAAAGGCCAAGGAACCUUUGUGCCGCUGUUCGGAUACAGUCUUUGGAUUUCAUUUGGGCAAAUUCUAUGUUACAGUAGGAACGUGUGUCGAAGUCUUGUCUGGAUGUUGCUUGAGUGAAGUAUUCCUGAGCUGGUCAUAUCAAUCGCAUAUUUUGGGAAAUGUGUAGCAGCUAGAGGGGAGAAUUGACAAUUACAUCUUGGGAGUUAACCAUGAGAUUGUUAAGGUAUGCCUUACCAAGUUAUUGAUGUAAUUGAGACCAUUUGCAAGAAAAGGAAAGACAAAACUGAUGAGUGGAAAUGGAAAAAAAAAUGCAUUCUCCAAGGUGAAAAGAAACACAUUUUGCAUAAGCUCAAGCCACAUUGAACAGUAAGCUAUAUGCAUGCAAAUGAGUCAAAGUUCCGUGUAUUCACUCUGUUAUCAAAUCACGAUGGCUAUGCCAUCGAAGGUUCUAAAUUUCCAAACUUCCACUCAAUUAUCGCGAUAAUUUAAAUUAUUUCAGCUUAUAAACUUGUCUAUACACGUGAUGAGGUCUUUUGACGUCUUUCGAUGUUUUUGAUACGUUAACCGCACACCAGCUUCUCUCAAGAGAAAAUAUUGAAUCUCAGAAUAGAGUUUGUAUUUGAAACGUAACCUCCCCAAAGCGUUUUGAAAUUCUUGCCAUUUCCCUCUACCGUGCAGAGGAUAUAAAAUAUGGAUUAUUAAAACCA